rnacentral:sRNA from 1 species
GUCUGUGCCUGUCGUGGAAGCUGGCCUGGCCCCCGGAGCUCCCUGGAGUCGGUACUGGGGGCUUCGUUUUGUACGCACCGUUUUCUCUCUGUGCUAUGGGAGAUGUCAAGGAAUCAAAGAUGCAAAUAACACCAGAAACUCCAGGAAGGAUCCCUGUUUUAAAUCCUUUUGAAAGUCCUAGUGAUUAUUCUAAUCUCCAUGAACAAACUCUCGCCAGUCCUUCUGUUUUUAAAUCAACAAAAUUACCAACUCCAGGGAAAUUUAGAUGGUCUAUUGAUCAACUAGCUGUAAUAAAUCCUGUAGAAAUAGACCCAGAAGAUAUUCAUCGUCAAGCUUUAUACUUAAGUCAUUCUCGUUUUUCACUAAAGAUGUCAUCGUACCCUCUCCUUGGACUGAUCAUGAAGGGAAACAGCUUCCACAGUAUCAUUCCAGUAAAUGCACUAACAUAAAUAAUGACUCUCCAAUUGGAAAAAAGCUGACCAUUCAUUCUGAGAAAAGCAAUGCUGCUUGUCAGACAUUGCUGUCUCUUCCUGUGGAUUUUAAUUUAGAAAAUAUAUUAGGUGACUAUUUUAGAGCUGAUGAAUUUGCAGAUCAAUCUCCUGGAAACCUCAGUUCUUCAUCCCUCAGAAGAAAGCUGUUUUUAGAUGGGAACGGAAGCAUCUCCGACUCCUUACCUUCGGCUUCUCCCAGAAGUCCUCAUAGUGGUGUUCAAACAU